AUUGAACGCUGGCGGCAUGCCUUACACAUGCAAGUCGAACGGCAGCACGGGUGCUUGCACCUGGUGGCGAGUGGCGAACGGGUGAGUAAUACAUCGGAACAUGUCCUGUAGUGGGGGAUAGCCCGGCGAAAGCCGGAUUAAUACCGCAUACGAUCUACGGCUGAAAGCGGGGGACCUUCGGGCCUCGCGCUAUCGGGUUGGCCGAUGGCUGAUUAGCUAGUUGGUGGGGUAAAGGCCUACCAAGGCGACGAUCAGUAGCUGGUCUGAGAGGACGACCAGCCACACUGGGACUGAGACACGGCCCAGACUCCUACGGGAGGCAGCAGUGGGGAAUUUUGGACAAUGGGCGGAAGCCUGAUCCAGCAAUGCCGCGUGUGUGAAGAAGGCCUUCGGGUUGUAAAGCACUUUUGUCCGGAAAGAAAUCCUUGGCCCUAAUACGGUCGGGGGAUGACGGUACCGGAAGAAUAAGCACCGGCUAACUACGUG
rnacentral:rRNA from 1 species